rnacentral:misc_RNA from 1 species
CAACCCUCAAGCAUAGCUUGGUAUUGGGUGUCACCUGGUGAUGGGUGCACCUUAAAAUCAGUGGCGGUGCCAUCUGGCUCUAAGCGUAGUAAUUCUCUCGCUUUGGAGGUUUAGAUUUGUAGUUGCCAUCAACCCCUAAUUUCUUAAA